AUGGUCGUCACCCCCGCAGAAGGCAAGAGACUACCCUUAGCGUUGAUAACAACCGUACCUCACACUCACAGGCUCCUUUGCGGUUACAAAGUGUCCUUCUUCCCUGCUGAGCGUUUGCUCCUCACCACAGCCAUUUCACAGGAAAGGAAGCUAAGCCUCAGAGAGGCUGCGACUCUCCCUCAGACAGCCCGUGGCAUGGCUGGGGCCAGGACGGACCUCUGCACGUUCCGAGUCCUGCAGGCGCAUGUCCAGGAGAGAGGAGAGCUGGCAGAGAGGUCCAGGCGGGUCUGGGAGCAGGGCCGGGGGCGGGGUGACGAGUGUGGCAGUUCCCGAGUCUGCCGACAGAGGGCGCCGCCGCCCCGCAAGUCGCCCGGGCCACGCCCCCUGCCAGGACCCGCCCCUUUGCGGCGGGGAACCACAGCGCCCAGUGAGGAGCGGCUCGGCGGGCUGGGGUUCGAGGCCAUGGGGAUGGGAGGGCGGUGGACUGGCUGGGCCGGGGCAGGAGGAGCAGCAGCAGGGGAUGGGCUGGGCCGGAGCAGAAGGAGGAGCUGCAGGGGAGGUCACCGGCGGGUCGGGGUUUGCGUGGAUCUCAGCAAAGCACAACCCCGAGGCCCCCUCUGCGCUCCCACCCGAAUCGCGGCGGCGGCACGCCCAGGAGGGAGCUCGCCUCUGCAGCUCAACCCACAACCUCUCGGCCGCGGGGCGGGAGAGGGUGGAGAGGGAGGGCGGCGCCCGGCGGACUCCACCCGAGCAGCACCGCCAGCCCCCAAACGCUGCAGUCUAGCCCAUGCCUUGAAGGCCAGCCUGCAGCCUCUUGAGCAGCGCGUGGGGCUCCAACCCCCAGCACUUCCACCUGGUCCAUGUCUCCGAGCUGAGCCCCAACUCUGGUCUAGACGGGAACCUGUGAAGAGCAGCCUCCGGCAGGGAUCCCCCGCCGGCUGUGCGCCCCAGCCCCGCCUCCUCUCCCCCCACCUCGCCCAGAGCACUGGCGACACCCAGCCAGCCGGCAGGGGCUGGACACUGUGUUGCGCUCCGCCCCCAUCUCCUCCCUCGCCCCCACCCAUACCCCUUCAACCAAGGCGAGGACGCAGAUGUGUCAGCUAGGAUCCCUGUCCUCUUACAGCUCCCAGUCUCUAGGGAGACGGCCACCAUCCAUACCAAAGCUUACACCAGGAAGCAGAAAGUGGUUCCGGUUCAGUGGGAGGCACAGGUCCUUAGCUCCCCAAGAAGACACAGCCUCAGGGGGCCGAGUUCGGCCAGUAUUUAGAGCCCUAAAGAUCCGUGUGGGAGGAAGCUCAGAGGUCUCCAGAAUCAUCUUGAGUCAGCAUCCUUUCAAUAAAGGCUCACUGAGCACUUAACGGUGCUUUAAA
rnacentral:lncRNA from 1 species